rnacentral:rRNA from 1 species
GAUGAACGCUGGCGGCGUGCCUAAUACAUGCAAGUCGAGCGAACAGACGAGGAGCUUGCUCCUCUGACGUUAGCGGCGGACGGGGGAGUAACACGUGGAUAACCUACCUAUAAGACUGGGAUAACUUCGGGAAACCGGAUCUAAUACCGGAUAAUAUAUUGAACCGCAUUGUUCAAUAGUGAAAUUCGGUUUUUCGGUCAGUUAUAGAUGGAUCCGCGCCGCAUUAGCUAGUUGGUAAGGUCACGGCUUACCAAGGCAAGGAUGCGUAGCCGACCUGAGAGGGUGAUCGGCCACACUGGAACUGAGACACGGUCCAGACUCCUACGGGAGGCCGCAGUAGGGAAUCUUACGCAAUGGGCGAGAGCUUGACGGAGCAACGCGGCGUGAGUGAUGAAGGUCUUCGGAUCGUGAAACUCUGUUAUUAGGGAAGAACAAAUGUGUAAGUAACUAUGCCCGUAUUGACGGUAACUAAUAAGAAAGCCACGGCUAACUACGUG